UACAAGAUAUUUACAAUAAGCAGACCUCAGUGCAAGAAAGUGUCGUUCCAACACUGAAAAGGUCAAAGGUCAACUUUAACAUUAAAAGGUGUUCAAACAAGUACAAGAUAUUUACAAUAAGCAGACCUCAGUGCAAGAAAGUGUCGUUCCAACACUGAAAAGGUCAAAGGUGAACUUUAACAUUAAAAGGUGUUCAAACAAGUACAAGAUAUUUACAAUAAGCAGACCUCAGUGCCAGAAAGUGUCUUUCCAACACAGAAAAGGUCAAAGGUCAACUUUAACAUUAAAAGGUGUAAAAACAAGUACAAGAUAUUUACAAUAAGCAGACCUCAGUGCAAGAAAGUGUCUUUCCAACACUGAAAAGGUUAAAGGUCAAGUUUAAAGGUGUAAAAACAAGUACAGGAUAUUUACAAUAAGCAGACCUCAGUGCAAGAAAGUGUCUUUCCAACACUGAAAAGGUCAAAGGUCAACUUUAAAGGUGUAAAAACAAGUACAGGAUAUUUACAAUAAGUAGACCUCAGUGCAAGAAAGUGUCUUUCUAACACUGAAAAGGUCAAAGGUCAACUUUAACAUUAAAAGGUGUAAAAACAAGAACAAGAUAUUUACAAUAAGCAGACCUCAGUGCAAGAAAGUGUCUUUCCAACACUGAAAAGGUCAAAGGUCAACUUUAAAGGUGUAAAAACAAGUACAGGAUAUUUACAAUAAGUAGACCUCAGUGCAAGAAAGUGUCUUUCCAACACUGAAAAGGUUAAAGGUCAAGUUUAAAGGUGUAAAAACAAGUACAGGAUAUUUACAAUAAGCAGACCUCAGUGCAAGAAAGUGUCUUUCCAACACUGAAAAGGUCAAAGGUGAACUUUAACAUUAAAAGGUGUUCAAACAAGUACAAGAUAUUUACAAUAAGCAGACCUCAGUGCAAGAAAGUGUUGUUCCAACACUGAAAAGGUUAAAGGUCAACUUUAAAGGUGUAAAAACAAGUACAGGAUAUUUACAAUAAGCAGACCUCAGCGCAAGAAAGU
ensembl:lncRNA